rnacentral:rRNA from 2 species
CCAUUCCACGGUUUCCGUGACGCAGCUAACGCAUUAAGUUCCCCGCCUGGGGAGUACGGCCGCAAGGCUAAAACUCAAAGGAAUUGACGGGGACCCGCACAAGCGGCGGAGCAUGCGGAUUAAUUCGAUGCAACGCGAAGAACCUUACCAAGGCUUGACAUACACCAGAACACCGUAGAAAUACGGGACUCUUUGGACACUGGUGAACAGGUGGUGCAUGGUUGUCGUCAGCUCGUGUCGUGAGAUGUUGGGUUAAGUCCCGCAACGAGCGCAACCCUCGUUCUAUGUUGCCAGCACGUAAUGGUGGGAACUCAUGGGAUACUGCCGGGGUCAACUCGGAGGAAGGUGGGGAUGACGUCAAAUCAUCAUGCCCCUUAUGUCUUGGGCUUCACGCAUGCUACAAUGGCCGGUACAAAGGGCUGCAAUACCGUAAGGUGGAGCGAAUCCCAAAAAGCCGGUCCCAGUUCGGAUUGAGGUCUGCAACUCGACCUCAUGAAGUCGGAGUCGCUAGUAAUCGCAGAUCAGCAACGCUGCGGUGAAUACGUUCCCGGGUCUUGUACACACCGCCCGUCAAGUCAUGAAAG